CCCUUAGAUGUUCUGGGCCGCACGCGCGCUACACUGAUGCAUUCAACGAGUUUCUUCCUGGUCCGAGAGGAAUGGGUAACCUUUUGAAAGUGCAUCGUGAUAGGGAUAGACUAUUGCAAUUAUUGGUCUUCAACGAGGAAUUCCUAGUAGACGUAGUUCAUCAGACUGCAUCGAUUACGUCCCUGCCCUUUGUACACACCGCCCGUCGCUCCUACCGAUUGAAUGUUUCGGUGAAGAUUCCGGAUAGGACUUUUUUGAUUUAUUUCAAUUUUGUCUUAAAAGCUAUCUAAACCUCAACAUUUAGAGGAAGGUGAAGUCGUAACA
rnacentral:rRNA from 1 species